rnacentral:rRNA from 1 species
GAUGAACGCUGGCGGCGUGCCUAAUACAUGCAAGUCGAACGCACAGCGAAAGGUGCUUGCACCUUUCAAGUGAGUGGCGAACGGGUGAGUAACACGUGGACAACCUGCCUCAAGGCUGGGGAUAACAUUUGGAAACAGAUGCUAAUACCGAAUAAAACUUAGUGUCGCAUGACACAAAGUUAAAAGGCGCUUCGGCGUCACCUAGAGAUGGAUCCGCGGUGCAUUAGUUAGUUGGUGGGGUAAAGGCCUACCAAGACAAUGAUGCAUAGCCGAGUUGAGAGACUGAUCGGCCACAUUGGGCUGAGACACGGCCCAAACUCCUACGGGAGGCUGCAGUAGGGAAUCUUCCACAAUGGGCGAAAGCCUGAUGGAGCAACGCCGCGUGUGUGAUGAAGGCUUUCGGGUCGUAAAGCACUGUUGUAUGGGAAGAACAGCUAGAAUAGGAAAUGAUUUUAGUUUGACGGUACCAUACCAGAAAGGGACGGCUAAAUACGUG